rnacentral:rRNA from 1 species
CGGUUUGUUAAGUCAGAUGUGAAGCCCGGGGCUCAACCUCGGAACCGCAUUUGAAACUGGCAGGCUAGAGUCUUGUAGAGGGGGGUAGAAUUUCAGGUGUAGCGGUGAAAUGCGUAGAGACCUGAAGGAAUACCAGUGGCGAAGGCGGCCCCCUGGACAAAGACUGACGCUCAGAUGCGAAAGCGUGGGUAGCAAACAGGAUUAGAUACCCUGGUAGUCCACGCCGUAAACGCUGUCUACUUGGAGGUUGAGGUUUAGACUUUGGCUUUCGGCGCUAACGCAUUAAGUAGACCGCCUGGGGAGUACGGCCGCAAGGUUAAAACUCAAAUGAAUUGACGGGGGCCCGCACAAGCGGUGGAGCAUGUGGUUUAAUUCGAUGCAACGCGAAGAACCUUACCUACUCUUGACAUCCAGAGAACUUUCCAGAGAUGGAUUGGUGCCUUCGGGAACUCUGAGACAGGUGCUGCAUGGCUGUCGUCAGCUCGUGUUGUGAAAUGUUGGGUUAAGUCCCGCAACGAGCGCAACCCUUAUCCUUGUUUGCCAGCACAUAAUGGUGGGAACUCCAGGGAGACUGCCGGUGAUAAACCGGAGGAAGGUGGGGACGACGUCAAGUCAUCAUGGCCCUUACGAGUAGGGCUACACACGUGCUACAAUGGCAGAUACAGAGGGCAGCGAAGCUGCGAAGUGGAGCGAAUCCCUUAAAGUUUGUCGUAGUCCGGAUUGGAGUCUGCAACUCGACUCCAUGAAGUCGGAAUCGCUAGUAAUCGUGGAUCAGAAUG